UAUUAUUUUUUUAACGGAUUUAGUUUAUCUAUUCUCUUUCACUACUAAAUAAAGCUGUGAAACUCUCCUUGUCUGCUUCUUUUUAGCAGACUUGGAACAGUUUUGGUGGAUUUAUCAGAAAGCUUCCCUUUCUUAGCUAGUUUGUCUUUGUUUCCCUUCACUGAUAUGUUUCUGUAGGAUACAAGUCUGUUUUAAGACUUUCAGAAAGUAAAGCAAUUAAGUGAUGUUAUACUCAAAACCACCAACAACAAAAAACUGCCUUGCAUGGUCCAUUAAACUUUUGGUAAUGACAUAUUCAUGGCCAUCAUCCCAUUGCUCCCAUUUUUGUUCCCAUACAUCAUCACAUGUGGCUCUAGGCUGUGUAGUGUUGUUUUCCACAGCCAGUAUCAUUUUCACAGACUGUCAUGGUCUUUUGACUACUGCAGAUACUUUUGAAAGUGAAAAAUAAUCUAUUGCAACGUCAAUUAAUGAUAUUUAAAAAAAUAAGACUAACAGUCUAGAGUUGAAAUAAAUAGUAGGGAGGCCAAGGAGAUUAGAAGAAGGUCUAAAGAUGGGCCCAUUAAUCUCAGUUGGAGCUGUGGGUCAAGGUAGAAUUGCUCCCUUUGGCUAGCUUUGAAAUCAGAUUAAAAUAAAAAUAAAAAAAUAAAAAUAAAAUUUGAAAGCAAUGCCUCCUGUAAGCAGGGAGAUUGAAGACUAAGUUGGAAUGAGGGUAGUCCAAUAGGAUGAGAAGUUUUCUGGGCAUCUGAUCAAAAAGAAGAGAGAUACUUUAAAGUACGCACUAAAACAGUUGUUAUGAAUAUGUUUUCUUACUUUUAAUGGAUAUUUCGGAAGGAAAAAAUAAAAGAGAGAGAACAAAGAAUAGAGAGAAAUAGGUGGCCAGAUUGUUUAGCAGAGGAAGGAGUAGAAGAGCAUGAAGGGCAACCGGUAGGGAGGAGUGGAAGGGUUGGAGAGCAGCUCACCUGCAGGGCCAGCAGCACCUGGAGCAGUGCAUUGCUGCCCCUCAAAUCCUGCUGGAUCCACCAGGGAGGAGGGUGGCGUACUGUCACUGUUGGAGAAGAAGAGAAACCUCCUCCUACUCCUACCUCAGCAUUUGCUUCAUUAGGAAACCAAAGGCCAUGGAAUAAUUUUGAGAAUUAAGUACUGCAACUUGUUCAUGUGCUUUGCUUGAAUCUUUACGCUUCUCAAAAUAUCACAGUUCUUAAGUAAAAUUAAUUGAGUUCUACGUAUGGGGGGAAGGGAGAGGAUAGCAGAUUAAGCAGGACAUAACUCAGUGAAAUUUUCAUCUGUUUCUGGGUGAGGCUUGGGCUGCUGUUUUACAGUGAGCCUUUCCAUUCAAACCUAGUCCUUGAUGCCAUAGUGAAUUUCUGGCAGACUAGCUUCACUGGUGUCCUAAAAAUAGUUGGUAAGUUUAAGCUGAUGUAGCAAGCUAACAGGAGUGCUGGGCCCUGUGGCUCUGUACUAUCACACUUACUUGAGUUACUUAGAAAUUUAACAGGUUAUAGUUGAAAUAUCUCAUGGAGUCUUUGCCAAGAACUGUACAGACUUCCUGCAGUGACCCUUGCUGAGAGGGUAAGGAUUAGAGCUUGUGUCAUUUCUUAGUUUAAACUGCUUUUUAGAUUUCUUCUAACAAUCAUAUUUGUCCUGCUGGGUAAACUGAGGCAUAAAUCUGGGAAAACCUUUUACAGAGGAGGUCAUUUUCUCCCUUUUAGAAAAGUUUAGUUGGGGGUAUGUCAUGUUCUCCCAGCAGGUAUUGUCAAAGGACUAUGUCUGUACUUCACAGGGGGUGCAAAACACAGCACUAGUCCACAGCCACCUGAAAGCUUAAGCACUGAAUGGACAUGUGGCCACACAACUUCAUCUGUACACUUUGAAAGCACAUCUCUCAGAAGCAUCUGGUCCUUGAAAUGCCAGAAAAAGGGGAUGCAGAACAAAUAGCAAGGACACCCUUCUUAAGCAAAAAAUGAUGUUUACCAUUAGGGAGAUGGGAAAUUGAGGCAUACAAAGACCUCAGCAGUUUGCAUGGAUUCAUACAGGAAAUCUGCAUCUGAGUAUUACACUGAAAAUGCAACACUCCCUCUUUUUCAGAACAAAGGCUGAACUAUUUUAUUAAAGAAACAUAUGAGGGUAUAGAGACUCUUGAAAUGGAUGUGUAGAAGCUUACUACUUGACCUGAGAGGAAGACAAGUUAAGAGCCUUGAAACUGUUCUUAAACUGACUAUAUGUUUAUAUGUAUUUUGGAGAGAGAAAAGGAUUUGGUUUAAUCAACCAAAACUUAUAUUUCAAUAACCUUUAAUCCUUUCAUUUUAAUUUCCACUGCUCAUACUAUCUUUUCACUUUUGUAUUAUCAGUGUCUAAAUCGCUUAUCUAUUUAGAAGUGGAAAAUUGGAUAUAUAUAUGUAAGCAAUAAAUAAAUAAAAAUAAAAAACACCAAACCAUAGAUAUUGAAAACAAAAAAAAAGUCACAUUACUAUGAAAGUUUCAUUUUGAUGAAGUCUAUUUAUCAAAAACUUCCUGACCAGCUCUAGUUCCUUCUCCUUCCCAUACACAUUUAGCUAGUCCCAAACUCAUUUUUGAGACAAGAGAUUUUCCUUGCUGCUUCUUAUAAUUUAAUGUGAUGUCUUUCAGCAAAAUAAACUCCCACAGAGUGGCAGAAACUGUAGAGUGAGAUUGGAAAUUCCUUUUGUUGGUCAGAUGUGAUAUCAGUGUCUCUGACUCAGGGGAGCAUUUUGUAGAAGUGACUUGAAUGUGUUAGCUUUUUCUGAAUUUAAUAAAGCACCUAGUCAAGCAUUACACACUUCGCAAAAACAGUCCAAACGCUACGAGACUAACCAUCUUGAAUGCAAAAGAAAAGACCAUGGCAGGCUAAAAUGUACUACUACAGAUAUUCAGAUUUAGCAAAAGUAGUAACUUCUCCCUCAUCACAGCAGUGAUAGUCCUUGGGAAAGUCAUUCCUUUUCUGAAAACCUAUCAAUCUAUGUAUAAAAUCACAGUAUCAAAUCAGUGUAUAC